AUGCAAAUUAGACCUUUUGGUUUAAUUUCAUGCAAAAGAAAUUUGUUCCUAGUGUAUGCCCGUGGUGACAACUAUCCAAACAACUGAGGGGGCCAUACUGCUGUGAAGUCCCCCAGCAAGGAUGGGUGACACAUGGGUGCACUGAUAGAUAGAAUGGAAUCAAAACGUGUAGAGCUUAUGUGACACUGAAAUGCUUCCCAUGCUGUGUAAAGUCAGACUGGCAUCUGCCCUUUUGACAUUGUCAAGAGUCACACUGAAGUCUGUUAGUCUGUUGUUCCACAAUCUAACAAUAUUUUCCUCAAUACCUUUCAUUUUUUCUGUUGUACUUUCCGUUUUUCCGAUUAUUUAUUUAUUUAUUUUACUCUCUCUUUUCUAACUACUUUUCUACUUAAUGGUGGCAAGGUCUCUUUGGUUUCCAAGGUGUUCCAAUAUGGUUGCACCUUAGGCUGCAAGGAAAUAAUAACUUUCAAUCUCUUAUGAGACGGCUGAAAUUUUUGGCUGGAUAACCUUGCAGCAGUAGCAGGUGGCUGUGUACCUCAGAAGACCAGCAACUGGAGUAUGUGUACAGUUCAAGAAGGUGGAAGAAAUCUUGAAGACCAGGUCAAAAGCCAGAUGUUGAGGUGUCAUAGCAUGUGUCCUUACUACAAUGAUACUGAAGAGAUCUCUUUGGAAGCACACCGCCUCCUGUGCUGGUAACAACUCAGAUUCAACCCAGGUGAAUGUGCUGCAUUCCUAUACAUGUUGUUAGGGUGGAGGGGGAGGACAGGCAUGCAAGGCUUCAGGUGGAACUAGGGCAUGGGUCCAAGUGUGUGGAGAGACAGUGAGUUGCUAGUCUGAGCAGCAGGGCUGUUUUAGGCCUUUAAAAGCAAUUCCAUAUGGCUGUGAGCUGUAGGAGAAAUCUAUCAUGAAACAAUUUUGUCUCAAAGUGCUCAUUUCUUACCAUGUUAGGUCUAUGCAAGGAACAAAGCAAACUGGAUAACAUGCUUGCGUAACCUUGCUCAACUUCAAGAGGCCAUACAGCCUCUUUCCCUCCAUAAAUGCUGCAGGGUACAAACUAAUGACACUACACACAACCCUGUGAAGAGCAACAAUGACAAAUAUUGGUUGAGGUGUCAGGUAACUUGGAAAGAAAGGCAGAUACCUGCUGACGUUUCAGUAAUGUUUUUUCCCCUCCACAUUCCAGCAAGCCAGAAAGGUUUCAUGGCUGCCUUUCCUUAGUCAGGCCCUGGGAGCAGCAGCGUGAAGUUUGCCCUAGAGCAGAUGCCUCGUACAACUGUAGAGUCACUGCGGGAUCAGAGGCUUGGAUGUCAGGUACAGAGCUGCUAUUUCAGUAGGCAGCCUGCAGUCAUGGAUUGGUUGUGGGCCAAGUGCCCCCAGGGUGGCAGGGGGAAAAAAGAUGUGUUGUCCUGCUUGCUGGCAUGAUUUUGCUCCAGAUAUAUAGGAGUCUAGAGGGAGGUAGACAAGCUUAUGUCACAAGAAUUUCAGGUGGUUGGUUACAAAAGGGAGGCUGUGCUGGAAGGCAUGCUGUUCACAACUGGUCGAAGGGAAUAGAGAAGGAAGAGCUUGGAAGACAGCCAUGGUCAGUUACCUAGAAGUCGUAGCAAGCCUGAUAGCAGUUCUUGGGCAGCCUGCGUGACAGACUUAGUAAAGCUCAGGAGCAGGAGACUCUGGGAGGGUGGUGGGAAGACCAAUAUCUUCAGGAGGCAUUUGAUUUCUUUCCAGAGUUUCCCCAUCGUGCUCUUAGGUAGUGAGUCAUGGGCCACCUGCAGGAAGAAAGGAAGGCAAAGGUCAGCUUGAUUCUGCUCACAGCUUUCAUACACCUCUGGUCAUCAGAUGCUCUUUCCACUCACAUAGGUGAGGAUGAGGUAGCAUGGCAUGGAAGCAGUGUUUACUGGUCCUCUAGCCUUGCUCAGAACUGGGGGUGUGAAACUUGCUGCUUUGGUCACACUGAUAAGUUUGGGCUAUUAGUCCCUAUUGAACCCCUAGGAGAAGUUUGUAUCGGCCCACUCAUUCAUAUCACUUUCCCUAUCCCUGAAGUUCUAGGCCCUACUGGCUCCCCCUGGGGGCCUGGCUCUGGUCAUCCACAUAGGGAUUAUGCAUCACUUCUCAGGGAAUACAAUUUGGACACUUCUGCUGAACCUUUUCAGUGCAGGUGUUCUGACCACUCAGAUUUUUAGGUUUCCAGCUCAAAUUACCUGACUUCCUGACUUGUGGUUUUCUGGAAUACAGGCUGAGCCAUUUGUAAUGCUGGAAGGGUGUGAUAACUCUGGAAAGGGUGCUUCAGCGAAGACUAGGCUCAGAAUAAAUGGAUGCCUUCUGCUGAAUUAUUGGCUCAAACAUCCGCGUGGGAUGAGUAGCAUGUGUCUGUUUUGGUUAUAAAAUACACAUUCAGCUCUUGUAGUAUCUGGUAGUUGAGAACAAAUAAUAGCUUAUGCCCUCAGGGAUCUGUGGUGUUGACCUGAGGCUAUGAAGCAGGCUGGGAAGAAGUGGAGCAGCUCUGAAGCUUGUGGCCAGUUUGUGGGGACAGAAUUGAGUGUAUUGCAUGUGGUUUGGGGCAAUGCCAAGCACAAAUGCAGACUGGAUGGAGAAUGGAUGGAGAGCAGCCCUGAGGAGAAGGACUUGGGGGUCUUGGUGGGUGAGAAGCUCAACAUGAAUUGGCAAUGUGCGCUCGCAGCCCAGAAAGCCGACUGCAUCCUGGGCUGCAUCAAAAGAAGUGUGGCCAGCAAGUUGAGGGAGGUGAUUCUACCCCUCUACUCUUGCUCUGGUGAGACCCCACCUGGAGUACUGCAUCCAGCUCUGGAGUCCCCAACAUAAGAAGGACAUGGACUUGUCGGAGUGAGUCCAGAGGAGGGCCAUAAAGAUAAUCCGAGGGCUGAAGCAUCUCUUCCAUGAAGACAGUCUGAAAGAGUUGGGGUUGUUCAGCCUGGAGAAGAGAAGGCUCUGGGGAGGCCUUAUAGCGGCCUUUCAGUACUUAAGGGGAUCGACAAGAAAGAUGGGGAGGGACUUUUUAUCAGGCAGUGUAGUGAUUGGAUGAGGGGUAAUGGUUUUGAAUUGAAAGAGGGCAGAUUUAGAUUAGGUAUCAGGAAGAAAUUCUUUACUGUGGGGGUGGUGAGGCACUGGAACAGGUUGCCCAGGGAAGCUGUGGAUGCCCCAUCCCUGGAAGUGUCCAAGGCCAGGCUGGAUGGGGCUUUGAGCAGCCUGGUCUAGUGGGAGGUGUCCCUGCCCAUGGCAGGGGGGUUGGAACUAGGUGAUCUUUAAGGUCCCUUCCAACUCGAACCAUUCUAUGAUUCUAUACCUUCUUGGGCACCUCUGGGAAUCACGUAAGAGCUUGACUGUCACAUAGUUACCAGGCACGAGUUUCUUCCCAUACAGUGCUGCAUAGUCUUUUUUUUUUUUUUUUAGCUGGUAAUAGAGAAAUUUUAAUGGUGGUAAGUAUUUUUGCACUUGGAUGAACUGCUGUCUUUCCCUUAAAGAAAAUAAAAACAAAUCCGUACUAGAUAGAGAAGCUUGUGUCUGAGUUAUCAAAAUGGCCAGGAGGAGGCAUCGGUGUACCACAAAUAAGCAUUUGAGCCUCAAAGUGACACUGAAAGGAGAGGGGUUCACCGUGGACAUUUUUUCAGUGCUUGCUUAUUCACCCAUGUCUGUACAAGGAUGCUUGGCGUGGUAGGUGAGGUGCAGUAUUUUUAUGUAACUUAUCUAAAUCAAGAACUAAUAAUCUGUAGGCAGUUACAGUCAGAUAUUUUUUAGGGUGAUUCGAUGUAAUUUUUGUGCACAAUGACUCAAACUGUAUUUGUGUGAUUACCAAUUUAUGCAUGUAGGUUUUUUUUUUAUAGGUCACUGAUCUCAGUUGCUGGUGUUAGUGUCGUAGUCUUCAAACUGAAGAAAACUUGGGUGGCUGAAGUUUAUAACGUUAAUGCUUUAUGAACAAGAAACGUGUGCUCUGUGCCGCAAAUAUCAUGCAUUCCUAUCCUCCUUUCAUGUUAAAGUAGUCUAUAAUCCACAAUUAACCAAACAAUAAAUCUGCCUCACAACCUUUUGAGGUAGGUAAGUAUGAACAGUAGAAAACAAAAAUAUCAAAGGACUUUUUGACAAUAAAGUGCUUGUGAGCACUAGAGUGAAGAUGCAGGAGUUCCUGGCUCAGGCCUGCAGCCAGGGUUAGAUUCCUACUUAAAGACAGUGAUUGUGUCCUGUGUACAAUGCUGGCAGCGCUGGCCACCAUUUCCUAAUAAAGAGUUCUAUUUUUUUGCUUGGAAUUCUUCCAAAACUUUGGUUCUUCCUCAGUCGCUUUUUUUAAUCCUAUUUAUUUUAUUUUUUUUCCUUCACUUUAACCUUUUCAACGAAUGAAUAAUAAGGAAAAAAAAAAACCACAAACAUUUUGUCCACCCAUAUCAGAGACACUGCUUUGUUCUCCUGUUAUUUCUGACCCACAAAUAACACUUCUAAGCAGUAGCCGAAGAAAACACUGCAAUCCCUCCUUCACAACGGUGUUGUCAUACUGACAGUAGCACUGACCUACUGCAGGGUUAAUGUGCAAUGUUCUAAUCGCCCUAGAUUGUUGGCUGCUCAUCUUCCUACCGCGAUUGCUACUAGAUGUUAACCUUUUCUGUUUGCCCUUCGAACUGGUGACUUCAGUUCUUGGAACCAGUUCGACAGAGGAAGAAGCAGUACCAUUGUGAGACAAGAAAAAAAAAUCAUGAUCCUUGCUCAGCUUUAUUACUAGCAUGUACCAGAAGAUGACCUGUGCUAUGCUGGGAUGAUUGUUGGUAUGCUGCAGUGAUUUUGCAUGUGGCUUUGAUAGAUGAUUUCUACAAAGAGUGAGGAUGAAAGCAUCUGUCUGCAUUCUUCUUGUCAGAGCCAUUUGUUAGUAUCCUGUGGGUGCUAGCAGCUGUGGAAGGUCCCAUGUCAACAUGUCCAUGAGGUAGGAGGUGUACUUCUGAAACUUCACGAGGUGCUUUUGCUGUUCCUAUCAAGAAACUUCAAGUGAGUGUAAUUCUCGAAAACCUAGUUUUGCACUUGAUUUUCAUAGGUCACCAUUUCUUAGAAAAGCAACACGUGUACUUGAAUCUACAUGGCAUUAGAUGGUGAUAUUAAGUCAUUGUGCAUCUGUCUGUCCAGGAGAUAUUGCCCUGUACAACUUGCAAGAGAAACAGCUUCAAAGUGGAGAGCAUUAGAAUCAUACACAUGCUGCUUUGAAAUAGGCAUCUGAGCCUACUGCUAGCUUUUACUGGCAACCACUCAAAAUUCUGCUCUGAAAUAACAUUUGAAAGUCAGUUAUUUUUAUAAACUUUCCCUAUAGGAAAACCAAAAGCAGUGUGCUGCAGUUGAUGCUUACCUCUUGUUUCAGCAGGACCGACUUUUUUGUCAAGAAAAAAUAUGACUUCAGCCAGUUUGAACAUUUCCAUUCUGGGAGUACUAAGCAUUGUAGGCCUGGUGGGAAAUAAGCUGCUUGUGUAGUUCCUUACCCAUUGUGGCCUUUAUUUUUAUGUAUCCACUUCCCCCAGCUCAAAAAUCUGCCUUUAUUUCUAUUAUCUCUGCUCCAUGUUUCUUAGUUCAUGGCUUCUGUUGAUAUCCCUUCUUACAGGUAGGUAGGGUGUGUGUGUAUGUAUAUAUAUAUAUUCAAAUACAUCUUUUCACUUCUUUCUUUGCAGUGGAAAAUUAGGGUGGCCAGCUUGAGAGUUGGGCACCCCUGAAUCCCACUAGGCACCCAAGCUCAUUAAAAACAAAGUUAAAAGAAGCAGUUUUAAUUGCCGUAGCAUAAAGUAAAGGUAACUCAACCUGCUGAGCUUUGCAUGUUCUGUGCUGCUUUAGCAAGUGUUUUACUGGUAUCCAGGCUACUUAUUUUAAAGCUCUUCAGCUGGAGGUGGUUAUGAUUGGUAAUGCUGUUUUAUAAACAGUACAACUGGGUGUGAACAACCCCAACAAAUACAUCUUUGAAAUGAGUGAUGCUGCUGGCCAAAAGAGUAUACGCAAAGUGGCCUAUCAUACGAAAAGUUAGAGAUAUGCCUUUACUCACUUACAUUUGAGCUAGAAUAAUUUAGGAAAAUAGCCUGUAGAAGCUUUUGUUGCUGCCUAAAAGGAAUUCUUCAGUUGAGUUCUGUAAUCUGUGUCAAAGAGAUUGAUAGAAUUUAUAGCGGGUCUCUUUAGCCAUUCUCCAGCAAGGAAGAUUUAAUCUGGCAAAAUGCUGACCUCUUCUAUUAACAAUUAGUAUUUCCCAAGAAUUCGUUCUACUUCAGAAAUAGUCGUUUGUGAAUGUCUGGAAACAGAAAAACAUGUCUGUUUUCAGUGGCAGGUCAUCUGUAUACCAAACACUCUCUCUUCCUCCUAGGGUGGUGUUCUUAAGAACUACGGAGAUGCUGCGUUGAGAACAGAGGAUUGAGCCACAACCCUGAACACCCAAUAGUUCAGUCUAUGUACCCUGAACCUCCUUCCUCUUCCAAAGAGCUGAACUCAUGCUUCUAUUGUAACCGUUCGAACCCUAUUUAUGAUGUAGGGUAAUGCAAGAUUGUCUGUUGUGGUUUUUUAGGGUUUUUUUGUUUUGUUUUGUUUUUUUUUUAAGAACUCCAAAUUGUCACAGAUUAGAACAUUAGCUGCAGUCAUGCACCAUCUGUUGUUGCCUCUUGGGCAUACAAGCAUGUUCCUGAAUAUGCCCUGUGUCAAUAUCCCAUGUAUGAUAGGUAGAGAGAUUUAACUAUUUGUUGAUGAAGUAUCAGUGUAUUGAUUUUCUUUUUUUUUUUUUAAGCAAGUGGUAUCUUGCAUUAGAAGAUUUCCCUGUAUGACGUGCUACUUUAACUCAAGCCGUUACUGUUAUAACAGAUAUUUCAAAGAAAAAAAAAUUUAAUUUUUUCAGGCAUAUUAAACGUUUAUUGAUUUCAGAAUCAUAAAAUUUUCACAUAGUUACAGAAUAUAGCUGAAUCCACAACCAGUGUAUUUCUGUAGUUAUUGACUCUCUUGAAAUGCUGUCUCACUAAUAAGAGCAAAUGUUGUUCCAUAAAGAGCAAGGAGCUUAUGUUGAUUCCCUGUGAUUACUUUUUAAGCAGAUGGAACAUACAUGUCCAGCUUAUUUCAGAAGCCCCGGGCACAGCAGUCUUGCAGUUACGGGGAAUCAGCCUCGCUUCCAUGAAAAGGAAUGGCAGUAAAGAUAAGUUGUGAAGUCGUCUUGAUCCCUACCACACAGCAAGGGUACUGUUGAAGGGCCAUGGGAAGCCUUGAAAAAGUAGCUAAAUAGAAAUGAAUGCUGCACAAAUUGCCCUGGGCACUGAAAAAUGCUCAUUUUCAAUGUUAACCGUUCCCAGCGUGAAUCUUUCAGUGCUGCGGUGGUUGUAUUUUGAGGCAGGCCAGCCUAGUGAGUCAGCUUUCUGGCCAGAAUCCUGCAUGGAUCAUUAACAGGUAGUAUCCAAAAAAAAACCAGGAGGGCAAAGGUUCCUUCUCACACAGUACAAAAGCUGUCUAUUUGGGCUCAAGGCUUAUCUACUACUGCAUGGAAUCAACCCUUUAUUGAACAUAAAAGUCUCAUUUUAAACUUGUCUGAUGAUUAAUAUCUGCAAACUGUCUUUUGUUGGUGCCCAACAAAAAGCCUGUCAGGUCAUGUAUUAAUUGAAGCAUGACAAACAACUGUUUUUCUCAUGCAUGAUGGCAAAAAAUAAAAAGCAACGAUUUAAAGGGCUACAGUUGCUAAUUUGGACAGAAACUGAAAUAGAGGAUCUGGAUUCCUUCCUUUUGGCUUGUACUUUAUCAUCAGGAUUUCUGAAAGCAGCUGGAACUUCUGCUAAAGAGAAACAGGGUCUGGCUGGCUUCAGCUGAAGUGCGUGUUGCGCUGCCUGUGCCAGCUGAGCCCCCUCUCCCGGAGGAAGAGUUCCACCCUGUGGGAGGGCACAUGCUGGUUGUGCCUCCUGUCCGCCUCCUGGCUUUGCCAGAGCAAAACCCAACUCUCCGAGGAGUCCAGGAGAUGAUGCCCGGAACCUUUGCACUCUUUUGUUGCCCUGGCAAAAGCACCAUCUUUUCUGAGCUGCUUCUCUGCCACAGGUUGAAAUCGGGACUCACGUAGCAGAGCAAUUCACAAAGUGGGUUGCAUCUGAGGCCAGACCAGUGCCAUCUGCAAAGGACAAAGGCCACUCGCUGCAUGGUGGUUCAGAGCUAUUCAAGGAUGGAAAAUGCAAGAAACAAUAGAGGGGAGAGCAGAAUCACCAAAACUCUGGGGGAAAAGCUAAACCACAUUAUUCUUAUCUAAUUCAGAGGCCUGCGCGUGCUGCAUGCUACCAGUGAGGUAACUCCUCUCCCAUCAAGUCAUGCUGCAGUAUGUACCUUGCUUACAUUUAAUUAUGUGCUGCUUAUUAACAGAAGAUGGUGAAAAUAAUCAGCUGUUCAGAGGACAAGAGCAAAAUUACUAAAGCAAAACAGUUGAUGAUUUUCAAGCAAACAGGUUUAGUGUUGGAAUUUGCUGAUUAAGUAAAAUGGAAGCAUUUCACAUACGCAGACACAUUCUGUUUAAAAUUUCAAGGGAAGCUUUUGAACCUUUUUUUAAUUUGACAAGCCAAAAGCAUCUCAUUCCAAUUAUAAUUUUAGAUGUUCCAUACAAUCUAAGUUGGUACAAAGCACUUUGCAAGGCAAUUUCAGUACUUUAUUCUGCCAUUUUGGGGGUAUUUUUAAUUGUAAAGCAAAUUUGAACGUUUUGACGUCUUCCAGAGAGCAUGGAAAGUCUAUUUUGAAGUCAGGACUGCCUGAGGUUGGUCAGUGUCGUAUGCAGAUGUGAGGUGAGCAUCCUACGUAGCUGGGUGGAGGAGUUAAAUUGCAGGAGUUAAGAGAAAACAGAGAAAGAAAUUUUCACAUUAAAGCUGCACAGCCUGUCUGUUUUACCCUUGGUCAGAGUCUAAUGGGUGGCUGCUUUAAUGUGCCUACCUGCAGCUGAAUCUGAACCAGAGGGCUGUUAGAAAUGUUAAAAAUCCUAGUGUAGGGUCCUGGGACUCCACCAUCACUGGACUUCCCCACAUCACCGAAGUUUUGAGUUUUGAUCAGCUGUCACCGAUACAGAAAUUUGGGGGAAGAUUCAAAGAGGGUUCAAAAGAGACAGGAUUGAUCCAAACAUAGGGAAAAGAAUUAGACAACAGUAGAGCACCCAGCUGUUGAGGACCAGGUACUAUCAUGGUGUUAGCUUCAUUAUGUAUGCUUAGAAUACGGUAAUCUAGAGGAAAUAAUCCUAUUGUUAUAAAAGUGCUACAUUACCUGAUAGGUCUUCUGGUUUCCAGUGUCUGAGGUCCAUAGUCAGCCCUCUUCAGAGUAGUAGGUGAAGAAAUAGGAAGGGAAAAGCAGGCGUGGUUACCUGGUUCCUCCUAUUGGCACACAUUGAGAGGGAUUUGGGCUCUGUAUCUGGCUGUGUCAUUGUUUGGGGUCUAAACUGCUAAGAAGUAAACUGUGUCCCCCAGUGCAGCCUCUGGUCUGCUCCUGGCAGGGUGCUGGAAUGUCCCUGCAGAGAUCGGACUGUAAAACUAGCUGGAUUUGUGAUGGCACAAUUGUGGUAGUGCCUGUAAGGGAAAGCACGGAGGCAGUAAUUUGUCACACAGGUCACUUGAAUAUCCUUAAUAAGAAGCUUCUAGCACAUGAUUGAGAAAGAAGAAAGUAGCUGUACAAUUGCUUCUUUAUAUUCAACAGAUGUUUCCCAAACUAAGUAGUAAAUUCUUAAGACCUACACCAUGAGCUAAUCUUCCCUGGAGUAACACCCCCGGCUAUCUCAGGAUAGUUAUGAUUGUUACUAUUGCAUAAAUACAUAGGUGGCGCCGGGGAUACAAGGGUUCACGAUUUCAAGAUGUGCAGCAUAUACAGCAAGAGGGGCCACCUGAUGGUAAGAGAUUCAACCUAAACAGAAAGGCAGAGGAAGGGAAGCAUUGCAGUAUGCUCCAGUCAUGAAUUAUCUCACUGGCCUUUGCUUAACAGGCCUUGCUCUGAAAUACAGCUUUCACUUUGCCCCGCUUUCAAAUUCUUAAAAAAUCCUUUUAGAAGAAAUUAGGCAGAGGUUAAUAGUAGCUUUACUUUGAAAUCUGCUUAUGCUUUACAUAACAUAAAAGCCUGCCUGUCUAGGUUAGAUGUCUGCUUAGUUCUGUGCCACCUUGUAUGAGCACCACAAGUAAGACUCAGUCUUAAACAACAGAAGGUCAACUGAAUUCCAGUUAAUCCAUUUCUUUCAACUCACAGAAAGAUUGGGGGAAGGAAAAGAAAUCGGUGCAGAAUAGGAUGAAACUCAAAUAGUGAAUUUAGCAUGUAAUUUCACGGGGUUCCAGCAGAGGUAGGUUUAGCCUGUUCAUCCACUGUCUCCACUUUGGGAUCAAGUUCAGCCUUUUCCUAUUCCAAAGGGGAGAGUUCACCUCAUUGGGAACACGACUGUGGCCAGCAGACAGCAUCUGGCAGAUGUUCUAGCAGCUACAAGCAACACUUCAGCUCUUCAAGUGAGUGCAGCCAGCCAUGACGGUCUGUAUAGAUGAUUCCUGGGUGGCUUUUUUUUUCCCCACAGCCCUUCUUUCAACAGCUGGGAAAACUUCCAUAGAUUUGAGACCUGCAUUGUAGCUGAAAAUUAGUCAGCCUGGGUUUUGCCAGCACGCAGUUCUGCUGGCCACGCUCGCACGCUGCUCUGACGCUGCCUGCUACUGAGGUAAAACAUCCUACUCCUCUGAGAUCGAACGGCGUGCCAAGGAAAAGAGGUCACAGAGGUUUUGGUAACACAGCUACCUCUUUCAGAGCUAGCCUGGGUCCCUUGGCACAGCACCACAUCAUGUGUGGAUGUGUUUGCAGCCCAAAAUAUAUUAGCUUGCAGAGCUGUCAAACUGCAUGACGUAGUCAUACCUAUGACCUACCCCCCUGCUCUCACUUCCAGUUCACUUUCAUUGUUGUUGCUUUUCAGAUUUGUCUCUGGUCUUAGAGGGGUAUCUGCAGCUUUGUUUCCUGCAGAGAAAAUGCUAUUUUGUGUUCUUCUCCUUCAAGAAGGUUCUAAAGCAUCACAGAGUCAAGGGCUUUCUACCCUGAACGCAAUAGACUUCAGUCAUCUUUAGCUGAGAUGCACUGUGUUCCCUGAAACAUUUUGUGCAAAAUUCAUGAAUCGAAGCUGAACAAACUGAAUACCAGGAAUUCAUUUCAGAGGAUAUGAUCUCAUAAUCUCACUAACUGUUCAUCUCUGGAGAGGGAUAGAUUUUGGCUGGCAGCUGCAACCCUGGAGAUAAAUGCAUCCGUAUAUUCGAAGAAGAUGGAACCUUUUUAAAAAAGGUCACAAGUCCCUUUGCGUUUUGCCUGAGCCACGGAUUCUUUGGAAACCUGUGUUGGUGUCUUCAAUCAAUUCAUCAUAUACCACUUUUACAGGGUUUCCUAGAGAGCGCCAAAUGUUGAUCUGGUGUGAACUGAUACAAUUCUGUUGGCUUUAGCAUUGCUGUGUGAUUUUUGUGGUAGCGUACCUAAGGGAUAACUUGCAUUGUACUUAUGAGAAGAAGCUUGCAAAGCCACCUGCCUGGCAAUCUCACUGCCUUUGCGGUCCUCUGGAUUUUGCAGCCUGACUUGGUUGUGAGUAUUCCCACUAACAAGCUGCCCGAAUGUGCAUUAGGAAACAUUAGCGCGAGCACCUUCACCACACGCCUGUUGUUACCUCUGGAGAUUUGAUGUGCCACAGCAACAGCAACCAAGCUGUGAAGCCAGGAGAGCCUGAUUCUCAAAAAAGGAAAAUUGAAGGAGGGCAUUCAAAUUCUGGAUUUAGAAGCAUGUAAGUAAUAGGACAGUCUGACUGUCAGAAUCUGAAUGGCAUAUUCGUGUAUUCUGGUGAAUUCACCUUUUAAAUUUGGCUCACACUAACAUCACCCAGUAGCCCACAAGGUUCCUUUAUUAGGCCAAAGCCCGGCCGUGUGGCACCCUUGCCCAAGUGGAGAUCCUGAGUGGAGGCUGGGGUCUGGCCUGGGUUUCGAUGGCUUAAGUUAUGGUGAGGCUGUGGACUGAGAACCUCUUCUUUUUCAGUAGGUAAGCACAUUUUGAAGGUCUGCGGCAAGAGAGCUUUUAACAAGCCUCUGCUGGAAUGAGCACCAACAGAUUGUAAAUUGCAAAGUGCAGUGUAAUUGAAUCUGAUCUCUGGCUUUCACAGACUGUAGUAAUUGGAAAUUGCCUUUCUUUUAAAUAUAUGCCAUUCCUAGGAUGGCUCCUCCUUGAAACUGUGAUCUGAUCAUUUUUAAAGACAUAAUAAUGUAAAAUAAGAAGUGGUAUACAGUCCCCUUGGUACUGGUGGGGAAUGGCAAAGUGGAGACUUUGGCAUACUUCCUGCUGUGUCAUUGGUAUUAAACUAAGUCCUACACAGUAAUUAACAGCUUAGCAAACAUGAACUCAGUCCUUGAAUAGCCACAGCCCGGAGCCCAAAUAUCAGCACUCUGCUCCAGGUCAAAACAGACGACCCACAGAAGGGCUGAGUGGAAGCUGUCCCGGUUUGCACUUGUCAGGGGGAUGCAGGGCGCUGCCACAAGUGCCCCUUGGCCAGCCCCAAGGGAUGUCUCCCUGCCGGUCCGCGUCUUCCUGGCUGUGCUCGUCACACCUUUGUCUGAACGCCGUCCUGCCCAGUGGCUAAGCACUUCUGUGCAUAAUGCAGGGGUUCUACAAUUUUUCUUCAGCCAUGGAAAUACAAGGGUUUCCCUAAUUUUUUGUUCCUAUAUGUCUAGGAGAUCUAAAGGUAAGGUUUGAACUUAAGGAAACAAAAUAAAACAGAUGAAGUCUAGACCUGAACACUGUCUUUUGUAAUGUUGUAGACUUGCUGUUUAGGGCGCACCACUCUUUCUCCUCUUAUGUCCCUUUUCUCAACAAUUAUUUCUUUUUGACAUGCAAUGACAGAUAAGUUUGUUGCCUAGGCGUUGAUUAAGACACUGCAGAAAGCCAGAAACAGAUUUGAGGCCUGGGAUCUUUAGUGGAGAGCCUAUUUAGCUUUAUCAGGAAGAAAGUUAAGAGUUGAUUCGCUUAGUAUAAAGUACCCUCAUGGUAAGACUGUACCAGUCACCAAAAAAUAAUUGAAUGGCUCAAAAGAAAGUGUGGAGACUGGUGAAGUACAUCUCAGCCGUCUGAAACCUGAGGCUAAGCAAGCUCAAACUAGAAAUCUGGUUUAUACUUUGAAAGGAUGGUUUAUUGCUUAGAAUAACCUCCUAAGGAGUGAUUCUUCAUGUCCUCUUCUUUAAGACAAGACUGAGUAACGUUUCAGAAGACACAUUUUUACAAGGUAUUUACUUAAAUAAAUGGUUAUUUGGUUCUAUAUGGGGUUACUGAAUUGAAAUUAAAAGGGUGUUGAUACAUUGGAGAUUAGAAAGGGUGAUUGCAAUGGUCCGUUUUUGCCUUAAACUCUCUGAAUCUAUAGCAGACCAAUUCCUCACCUGCAUGUGCCAGGUGAGUGGAUACUCAAAACUGGGUCUAGGUCUAAGCCAGCAGCCAUGAAUUCAAUAAAAUUCAGGAUGUGAUGGAGGGUAGGAACUUCUGUGGACGUUUCCCCACAUCUCCCUACCUUUUCCAUGGGUAAAAAAACAGCGCUCUUAGAUGAUGCUGCAAGUAGAAGUUGGCUGCCACCUUCUCCUUGUCCUUAAAACUGUUGUUUUGUUGUCAUCCUUGUUGAUGAGAAGAGGACACACCACUGCUUCACCUGCGGUUGUGCAUAGUGAGUAACAGAAAAUAUCCUGACGGCUUUGGAGGGCUGUCAUGGAAGAGGCUGACCAGCACCUACUGUUCCAAAGGCAGAGUCUCUUUUGUGAUUUCCAAGUAGUUCCAAGCUGCCAUCCACCUGCUCUGUCUGCCAGUCAAGACGAUCACGUCCUCAACUUUCCAUUUCAUGGACAGGAAAGUACAUGAGAAUUUGGACUGUGAAGACAAUUAUUACCUGCAACUGCUUGCUGCCAAGAUGUGGUUACAAGUUGGGUUCCAGUUUCACGUUUCUUAUUCGCUGUAACUAUUUGGACUGGCUACGGCAUUUUGCUCAAUGUUUUCCCUUCAUGAAAUCCAUCUGCUGGUAUCUUCUUACUUAAAAAACAUAUUUUGCAUGCAAGUUCCCCAAAUAGCCAAUGCUUCCCCAACUCCCACCUUUUUAAGGAAAUACAGCUUAAAGUAGCCCUGUGUGCUGAGCAGUGGUGUUUGGAAGAGUGGGAAUGUGUUACUGUGAUCAUAGGGAAGGAGAUGGAAUUAGGUAUGUAUUGUCCAGUGCUUCCAUUACUUCAGCUGGAGUUUGGUGGGCAGACCUCUGGCAGUUGGGUGACUUAAGCGAGGCACCUGAAAUUAGAAACCACUUUUAAUAAACGCUGUAUAAAUAACAUUACUAUGAGGGAUUAAAGGAAGAGCAUCGAAGGAAUUUAAGGGCACGGGGUUGAUGGAUCUCCUUAUGACGCUCCUUCGAACCUGUGACCAAAUCCCACUGUUUACUCUGCAGUAUUACUUACUCUGCGGUGCCAAGGCAGUUGUCUGUUUUGGAAGAGGUAACGGUUUCACAUAUGUACCAUAUUUUAAGAAUGAUUGAUUGGCUUCAAGGAAUCAGAGUUUUAGUUACACCUGGGCAAUUCUGCUAACUAAUAAAUAUACUUAGCAUUAACCUCUUUGUGGCUACUCAGAAAUAUCUGUGCACACAGCCUGAAGGAUUCCCUAUGCUUUUAACUCACUUUUAUUAUUUUUUUUUUUCCGUGCUAAUGUUAGUGCUGGGCUCCUCUGUUCUCUGGUAAGGUAGCAGUGGCAUUGUUCCUCUUUCUAGGACACGAUGUACUGCCUGCACAGUUCUACCUCUGAAAGCACAGCCAGGCUUUGCCCAGAAGCUACCGACAUAAAUUAUUUAAUUUUGUGUUUUGAAGGUUCCCUCUGGUCAUAUAAAAUAGGUUCUAUUUGAAAGUGUUUUUCUUAAUCAAUUUUUCUAUUAGAAUUUGAGCCAUAAAGCUGUGCUGAAUGCACUUGGAUAGAGCAUACCCUUUUAAGUAACUUUUGUGUUAAGAACCUUAGACUAGAUCUGUUUAACAAAUGUUCAAUGAACAUGUUCUCUGCUGCUCCUGUGGUUGUGGUAUUUCUACAGAAAGGCAUCCUGCAAGCAGUUUGGACCUGAGAAGUGGUUAGCAAUGCGUGGAACACAAGUCAGGGGCUCUGCUGUGAAUUCCUCUAUGAAUCUGUUAUGUGAUCCUGAGGAAGUCGCGUUGCCUCUCCAUUCCUGCUUCUUCCUCGUGUCUCAUCUGCUGACAGUACUCUACUUAACAUGUUGCCUUUGAAAGGUAGUAAAUAUAGCAUUUUAGGGUCCAAAACUGUAAAUUUUUUGACUAAUUUUGUACUGAUACCAUUCCAGUUGGGUUAGAUAAGUAUAAAGAAGAAUUUGGUCUUCACCUGUUGGUAUCACACAUCCCCAACCAGACUUACAAAGACAUUAUCUCCUGCAUAAACAGGCCACAGACAUAUAACCUCAUGAGGGUACUUGCUCAACAGCGUGGGGUUUUGAAAAUCCAGCUCACUGUGUGCAGGCAUUUUGUUAAAUACGUCUUCUUCAAAAGUAUUGAGCACAUUCAAGUUG